CUAUAAGACUGGAAUAACUUCGGAAACCGGAGCUAAUGCCGGAUAACAUUUGGAACCGCAUGGUUCUAAAGUAAAAGAUGGUUUUGCUAUCACUUAUAGAUGGACCCGCGCCGUAUUAGCUAGUUGGUAAGGUAACGGCUUACCAAGGCAACGAUACGUAGCCGACCUGAGAGGGUGAUCGGCCACACUGGAACUGAGACACGGUCCAGACUUCUACGGGAGGCAGCAGUAGGGAAUCUUCCGCAAUGGACGAAAGUCUGACGGAGCAACGCCGCGUGAGUGAUGAAGGUUUUCGGAUCGUAAAACUCUGUUAUUAGGGAAGAACAAAUGUGUAAGUAACUGUGCACAUCUUGACGGUACCUAAUCAGAAAGCCACGGCUAACUACGUGCCAGCAGCCGCGGUAAUACGUAGGUGGCAAGCGUUAUCCGGAAUUAUUGGGCGUAAAGCGCGCGUAGGCGGUUUCUUAAGUCUGAUGUGAAAGCCCACGGCUCAACCGUGGAGGGUCAUUGGAAACUGGGAAACUUGAGUACAGAAGAGGAAAGUGGAAUUCCAUGUGUAGCGGUGAAAUGCGCAGAGAUAUGGAGGAACACCAGUGGCGAAGGCGACUUUCUGGUCUGUAACUGACGCUGAUGUGCGAAAGCGUGGGGAUCAAACAGGAUUAGAUACCCUGGUAGUCCACGCCGUAAACGAUGAGUGCUAAGUGUUAGGGGGUUUCCGCCCCUUAGUGCUGCAGCUAACGCAUUAAGCACUCCGCCU
rnacentral:rRNA from 1 species